CGAUAUUGUCUUGAUCUUGUCAGACAUGAACCCUAUGUCAAUUAAAGUUCAUAGCUUCAUAUUUAGGCCACUAUGUACAAGAACGAUCUGUAAGGGACACACUUGCAUAGCGUUGCAUUUUAAAAGAUAGAGGUCGUUUUCUGGGUCGGGAUUCUUGAGUUCGGCAUGAUUUUGUUUGGGGACUGCAACAAGCCCAAGCUCUGAAGGGAAAACUGGGUGUGCGUGCCGAGGCUGAGGAGACUUUGUUACAGUACUAUGAACCCUGUGUUACAGCAGUGUAGUUGGAGCAAUUUUGCUUCAAUAACAAACCCAAGUGGAGAGUUUUACCUAUUGACCUCCCAGAGACCUCAUUAAAUUCAACGACUGGCUUUUGCUUCUACUCUCCUGGCUCGGCUUCAUUCAGCCCCACAGAGGUGUGUGCGAACUCCUUCAGAGUUAUGGUUAGGAUGACUAUAUUCUCUGAGUUGUGUGAUUUUUAGCAUAGGGGAAAUUACUUGGUGUGGAAUAAAUAGGAGAUCCUGGUAGACUCACUGCUCAUAUGAACGUUCCUGGAGGGAGGCUGAGUUGGCCUUCUGAGACUGACACAUCACAUUAAUUUAAUAUGAACACACUGGUACACCUUUAGCCUCAUUUAUACAGAUAAAAUGUGUUCAAGCUUGAGACAUAAUUGGGAUUGAAUAUUCAACAUACUGGUACAGUGUGUACUGUAUGCAUUGCUUAGUUUUCCUCAAUGUCUGACCAUUUUGUUUAAUGUUCCAUACGGCCACUGUCUGUACAGUACUGCCUUUAUUCAAGAUAUAUCAUUCUGAACAUUUCAUAAAGAAGGCAUCGAAGCUAUUUCACACGUGAUGUAGUGUAUAACCAGUGGUGAGGGAGAGUGUCGCGGGAGACUAGACAAGAGCGUCGGGCUUUGAGGCUGAGGUAAUGGCGUGUGUGUGCUGGCACUACAUCGCCUCCUUGUGCGUAUUUCCACAGCCGGUCAUGCCUUAUGUCACAGCUACUCCACUUCCAGACCUUCUUGCUAAUUGAAAUAAAGCUUCUCUGAGCCACCCUGUCAGUCCACAGGCACAUGUGAACCAUCAGUGUGUUCGCUUCCCUCUCUCUCCCUGUCCACCUCACUCAGACCUCUGGCUGUGGCGUGUGUGUGAUCUCAGCAUGGGCUCUGUGUGUGUGUGCACACAUUCAACAUCUUACUCUACUUUUUUGUGAAGCUGUGUGGCUAAUCCACUGACAGCAUUGAUCUGGAUGAUCAGAGGAUCUGGAGUUGAUUGAGAGGGUCUAAGAAGGUGGUGUUGAGAAAAUAUAUUUCAGUUAUAGAUUGAAAGACGAUAGUGUACUCUUAGACUAUACUCAUGAAGGUCUGUGAAUCUGGUAUGGAUUAAGAGGGUCUGUGUCUAGUAUUUAAGGAUCUGUGUCUGGUAUAGAUUGAGAUUCAGUGUAGUAAGUGUUCUGGACCUGUUUAGCACCCACUAGAGGCAGUUUAAGUACAGCAGCGUAGAAUUGACCUGUGUGUCAUGUGACAGGAAGCAGUUUCAGAAGUGAAGUAAUGUGUAAGAUGUGCAAGUGUGACAGAGUAGUUACAAUCCUUCAACAUAAGCUUUGUAAUGUGUUUUCACACUGUGAUUCAAGUAAACUUCCAAAACGGCACCAUGCUUCUCACAGAGUUAUUUGAAUGAAUGUUUAUCUAACUGGAUAGCUGGAUAAGGGCUACUGUACAUUUAGCGAGCCCAGUAUAGUAAGACUUGUUUGCCUCAAAAUCAGGCAAUACUAGCCAACCAUGAAUUACUUUGCCCUCAUCACAUCCCUUUGCAAGACGUUUGCAACUUGCCAGUCAGAGCUCCAGUGGAAGAGGUCCUGGUACAGCCCCAGGAGAGGGUGGAGGAGAUGUUAGCUGUCAACAACCAGAGCCUCAACAGAACUUUCCAAAUAUAUCUCCUCCCCCCAGAAGACUGACGGAAUCCAGGUGCGAAUUCAUUACACCAAUUCAGUUGAAAAAUGUGUCUUAAACAGAACCGAACGAAGCGGAGAGGGACCUACCUGAAUUUGUUCAAUAGAAACUCUAAUUUUCAUUGCAAAACGCAUCUGUCUGGACUAAUGAUUACACCUCAGGUUCAGGUGGCAUCCCUGGCCAGUAUGCCCACAAACUGUUUCCAUACAACAUUGACCUCUACAUUGCAUCGCUGAGCUUGUGCCAUGGCGGGCUUCUGUGAUGAUGGUCCCCAUGGUUGUGCGUCACACAAACAAACAAAUACAACAGCCACAACUAAUAUAUUACAACUCCAUAAUAUAGCCAUAUUCGCAAGCUGACCACAAAACACUCACAAACAUAAUUUUUGCUUCUGAGUUGGUUUUAUUCUGAGUUGUGUUAAUUUGUGAGUUACUCCACCCACUUCUUAGGAGUGGAACGGCCCUGUGGCAUUAGAUCAACUCUACUCUCAGGGGAGAGCACAGAAAUAGAUUGUGUAGAAUUCCACAUUAUAGUGUGGCACCAUUAAAGUAAGCAACCACUUAUUUGGAUUUCUCAUACAUUCUAUUUCUAUGGAUGAUCUCUCUGAGCCUUUGUUUAUUUUUAUUUUCCUCUCCACUGAGAGGAAUCAAGAAUCAAUUGAUUUGAUUGAGUUGGAAAAUCUUUUGAACUGAAAAAAUGCAGGGACAACUUAUUUGAUCAUUUGGUUCCAUAAAUUACAUUUGGCAAUAGGGGAGGGAUUCUUAUUAAUGCUAAGGCUGAGUGCAACAAUUAAGCCUUAUCCAACUAGGCCUAAGUGUAGCUGUGUAAGGAAAAUACAAUCCCUUCUCCCAAGAUUAUCUCUACUGGGUCAUCCAAAGACAGUGGGGGUCAAAGUUCUUGUUACUUUACCUUGUGGGUCAGUCUGACAAUAUUUGUCUCAUUGCCUGAGACAUUCAAAUGAAUGUAUGUAUUUGGGGUAACAUACUGUACCAGUCAAAGUUUGGACACACCUACUGAU